UCUGUUGUGGAGCUUCCUACGCUAAAUGUACUUCACCAUGGAAAUUAAUACUGAAUUCCAGUUGAAAAUUUUUAUAAUCUAGGAAACUAGGAAUAUGAUAACAUCUUUUUAGUGACUAAUAACGUGCCAGCAGUCGCGGUCAUACGUUAACUAAUUGUGCCGGCACUAAGAAUCUUUUAAGUUAUUUUACUUAUUAAUCGUGAAACAUAAUUACAUAUUUUUCUAUCUGCUUAGCCCAAACUAAAAACUGACCACAAACAAGGAUUAGAUACCCUUUUAUGCAGUAAAUACAAAUUAUUCUGGGUACUACACUACUUCUUCAAACCCAAACAACAUGGCGGUGUGAUAAAUAUUUAGGGGAACUUACUAGGUAAAUGAUAACCACCAAGAAAAUGCACUUUAAUUUAAAUUUUACAUACCGUCGUCGGCAGACCUUCUAAUAUAGAAUGUCAUAAUAUAUAAAAUAAAAAGACAGAUCAAGGUGUAGAUUAUAUUAAUGUCUAAGCGAGUUACUAUAAAAAUAUAUUUCAAUGAUGAUAUAUAAUUCUCAGCAAUUGCCGGACUUAAAAGUAAUAAAUAUUAAUUAUAGAUUAUGAAUCAUUUUAUCACGUGCACAAAUCGCCCGUCACUCUCGAAACCAUUUGAGAUAAGUCGUAACAUAGUAGAAAUAACGGAAGUUGUUUCUAAUUCGCGGAAUAUAGGUGAUAU
rnacentral:rRNA from 1 species